rnacentral:rRNA from 1 species
UAGGGAAUCUUUGGCAAUGGGGGGAACCCUGACCGAGCAACGCCGCGUGAGUGAAGAAGGUUCUCGGAUCGUAAAGCUCUGUUGUUAAGGAAGAACGAGUGGGAGAAUGGAAAGUUCAUGCUGUGACGGUACUUAACCAGAAAGGGACGGCUAACUACGUGCCAGCAGCCGCGGUAAUACGUAGGUCCCGAGCGUUGUCCGGAUUUAUUGGGCGUAAAGCGAGCGCAGGCGGUUAGAAGAGUCUGAAGUGAAAGGCAGUGGCUCAACCAUUGUAGGCUUUGGAAACUGUUUAACUUGAGUGCAGAAGGGGAGAGUGGACUUCCAUGUGUAGCGGUGAAAUGCGUAGAUAUAUGGAGGAACACCGGUGGCGAAAGCGGCUCUCUGGUCUGUAACUGACGCUGAGGCUCGAAAGCGUGGGGAGCAAACAGG